UGGGGAAUAUUGGACAAUGGGCGAAAGCCUGAUCCAGCCAUGCCGCGUGUGUGAAGAAGGUCUUCGGAUUGUAAAGCACUUUAAGUUGGGAGGAAGGGCAGUAAGCGAAUACCUUGCUGUUUUGACGUUACCGACAGAAUAAGCACCGGCUAACUCUGUGCCAGCAGCCGCGGUAAUACAGAGGGUGCAAGCGUUAAUCGGAAUUACUGGGCGUAAAGCGCGCGUAGGUGGUUCGUUAAGUUGAAUGUGAAAGCCCCGGGCUCAACCUGGGAACUGCAUCCAAAACUGGCGAGCUAGAGUAGGGCAGAGGGUGGUGGAAUUUCCUGUGUAGCGGUGAAACGCGUAGAUAUAGGAAGGAACACCAGUGGCGAAGGCGACCACCUGGGCUCAUACUGACACUGAGGUGCGAAAGCGUGGGGAGCAAACAGG
rnacentral:rRNA from 1 species